AAAACUUUGCCUGGACUGGGAGGGUGGGAGGACCUGGGAGGGAGGAACAAAAGUGGUUUUGUUUGGUGAUGCCGAGUUGACCGGGCAGCCUUGGAAGCCCUCACCCGGGAAGGCAGCGAGCUGUUUGCUUGUUUACAAAGAAGGUGAGAGUCAAGUUAUCUAUGGAGAGGCGAACGGGGAGGGGGAGUGUGUCUGUGAGCCAGGAGUCUAUUUGUGGAUUUCAUAGAGGCAUGCUCGAAUCAAGUCCCAGCUUUGGUAUGGUGUUUAUUAGCCAAGUUAAGUGUAUUGCAAAUUAAUACCCGCAGUGGCAUUUAUGAUGGGGGGGGGGGGGCGGAAUCAGCUUCCCCACCGUCUGGCAGAUUCCCAGGCAGAGGUCUUCCCCCUUCCGCCCCCCCUCCCUUUUUUGGUGUGUCGUACUUGUUUGUUUUUGGAGGUUCCCACUUUAGUUCCAGCCCACUGCCUGGGUUGGAAGUCUGAGAGGAAACAAACGCAGGGAGUUCUCCGGGAGGCUGACUUCUACUUCCUCACGGAUGCGGGAGACAGGGUAAGCCCUUCCAGCCUCCCUCCCCGGUCGGGAGGCGUUGCUAACUAAGCAGCCAGCCAAAAGCAGAGGGGACCACCUUGCAGUAAUUUGUCCUGAGAUCAUCACCUGUAUAUACUGCAAUGCCAAACCAGAUUCCAGCACCAUUGGGCCCAAUGGAUCUAAAGCUAAAAGUUUCGUGGGGUUUUUAACACUUUUCCUUGGGACCACUUAGAAGCCUCCCAUUUCAAAUGGAUUGCAAUGCUUUUCUAGCCAAGUACCGAGGAAUACGAGAUUUUCGGAUAUACUGUUCUGUAAUAAAACUGUUAGCAGAAUUUAAGAUCCUGUUUUACCUGCAACACAUGCCGUAGAAGACCCCCCACACUGUUUGCUUUAACACUAUCAGUAUCAUUAGUGUUACUGAUAAAUUCUCCCUCAAAGUUUCAAAAACUAUAUUCUUGUGCAAUUUUAAUAAAAACACAAAGUAAUUAUGCCAGUCUUUUAUAUGUGCUCUAGAACUUUUCGUCCUUUCUAAUGUGUUAGGGCUGUUCUUCACAAUUUAGCAGUCUUGCUUAACAAGUCCCUCAGUGCCAACUUUUCUGUGAAUUACUCUGAUAAGUACAAUGAGAAGCUAUUGCAAUGAAAACAUUAUACAAUAAAGAGAACUGUGGCAGGAAAGAGUUAAGUUUCAUUCAUUCAAAAGUGCCCUUUCAUAAGUCUAAGAGGCUUUGGCUUGUGGGAGUAGGAUCUCUAAGGCUUUGUUGGAGGGUUUGGGGUGCGUGGCUUACUUUUCAGGACUUGUCAGGUGUUAUGCAAAUAAAGAGGAAAAUCUGGGCCCUACUUGGUACUCAAGACAGUCCAUCCAUUAUUACUUAGAAAACGUUUUUUUCCUGCGUUAAAGCUUCAUUAUCGUUUCCCUCUUAAUGAAGUGACUGGGGAUGGGGGUGAGUAGGCGCAGUACAGGGUGGGAGGAGGUCGUGGGGAGAGAAUGGAGAGGAGUGUUCCUGGCUUCUGUUGUGGAGUCUUUUCUAUUUGACUUCAUGGUUGUAAGUAUUUCCAGAUGGUGAAUCAGACACCAGACGUAACAAUAUUUCCAUAUUUGGGUAUAGCAGUAGCCUGCGUUUUUAACAUUUUUCUGCCUCUGUUAUCCAACCACAAAGCAUUCUUGACAGCUUCAAAUGUUGUUAAAUAUAGACUUAACUUCUGUUCCCAGAGCAGGAAAUUCUUUGGAAUUCCUUGUUUUUCACGCAAUCUGUCUAUCAUGAUUUAAAAUAAAAUUACAAUGGAUGAUCC
rnacentral:lncRNA from 1 species